AACGAACGCUGGCGGCAUGCCUAACACAUGCAAGUCGAACGAGACCUUCGGGUCUAGUGGCGCACGGGUGCGUAACGCGUGGGAAUCUGCCCUUGGGUUCGGAACAACAGUUGGAAACGACUGCUAAUACCGGAUGAUGACUUCGGUCCAAAGAUUUAUCGCCCAGGGAUGAGCCCGCGUAGGAUUAGCUUGUUGGUGAGGUAAAAGCUCACCAAGGCGACGAUCCUUAGCUGGUCUGUGAGGAUGAUCAGCCACACUGGGACUGAGACACGGCCCAGACUCCUACGGGAGGCAGCAGUGGGGAAUAUUGGACAAUGGGCGAAAGCCUGAUCCAGCAAUGCCGCGUGAGUGAUGAAGGCCUUAGGGUUGUAAAGCUCUUUUACCCGGGAUGAUAAUGACAGUACCGGGAGAAUAAGCCCCGGCUAACUCCGUGCCGGCAGCCGCCGUAA
rnacentral:rRNA from 1 species